rnacentral:snoRNA from 1 species
GUUGCUGUUGAAGGUGUUGCUGCUGCUGCUGCAGCAGCAGCAGCAGCAGCAACAGCAGCAGCAGCAGCAACGCGGGGAUCGGCUACGUCUGCAAUUGCUGCACGUU